CAUGCUAAGCUGAGUUUCAAUGACUGCUAUCUAGAAGUUUUUGAAAUUUUUGAUUGCUUCUGAUGAUUCAUUUAGUCCGGUUUUGGUUUCCAAUCUGUCCUUGGACACACAUUUGAUUGUGUAUUAUAAUGGUUUUAACUGCUUCAAGUCCACUGUAUGAGACCCUGAGUUAAUGUACUAAUUUAUCUCAUAUGAGAGUGGUUACAUUAAUAUGUUAAAACACUGUUGACUGUUGUGGUCUGCAGAACAUGUUGAGUGACAAUCACUUUGAUUUAAGCUUUGCCUCAAGUAAAAAUACAAUUGAAGUGAAAUGACUUCACAUGCUAAUAUUGUCUUCUGGGCUGUCUUUGUUGCACAGCUUAAGUGGGAAAUUGGGAUAGCGAUGUAAUAUGCAUUAGUUAUUGGAAAUUGCAGAUUAUGCUGGUAACUGAUAAGCUUAGCAAUGUUCUCCUUGUUUUACAAUAUAAUAAAAAAAUGCAAGAUGCCAUAAUUUUUACAAAAAUUCUUUGUGCGUCUGAACAGUAAUUUAUCCCAACUGCAUAUUUGACAUAUAUAAUGAAAUCAUGACAGCACCUUGGCCCAGUAGCAUGAGAACUUCCCAAAAAUCCAAAAUUCCUUAUCUGUGAAAGGCUUGACAAACAUGUAAGA
rnacentral:misc_RNA from 1 species